GCCAUCCUUCAAAGAAAGCGUAAUAGCUCACUGAUCGAGUCCUCAUGCGCGGAAGAUGUAACGGGGCUAAGCUGUUAACCGAAAGCGCGGAUUUCCAAGCAAUUGGAAGUGGUAGGGGAGCGUUCUGUAAGCCGACGAAGGUGAUUCGUAAGGAUUGCUGGAGGUAUCAGAAGUGCGAAUGCUGACAUGAGUAACGAUAAAGCGGGUGAAAAGCCCGCUCGCCGUAAGCCCAAGGUUUCCUGCUCUACGUUCAUCGGAGCAGGGUGAGUCGGCCCCUAAGGCCAGGCUGAGAAGCGUAGUCGAUGGGAAGCUGAUUAAUAUUUCAGCACCACUGUUGAGUGCGAAGGGGGGACGGAGUUUUGCAAGUAAUCCGGGUGUUGGAUGUCCCGGUUGGCGAGCGUAGGAGGUGAGCAGGCAAAUCCGCUCACGCAUCUCCGAGACGAAGCCUCGAGGUCCUUUAGGACUGAAGUUACCGAAUGAACUUCCAGGAAAAGCCUCUAAGCUCCAGCUCAACGGUGACCGUACCGUAAACCGACACAGGUGGGCGAGUUGAAUAUACUCAGGCGCUUGAGAGAACUCGGGAGAAGGAACUCGGCAAAUUGACACCGUAACUUCGGGAUAAGGUGUGCCUUGGUAGCGUGAAAGGAGAAACUCCCCAAGCGCGAAGAGGUCACAGAAAAUAGGGGGCUGCGACUGUUUACUAAAAACACAGCACUCUGCAAAGACGAAAGUCGACGUAUAGGGUGUGAUGCCUGCCCGGUGCCGGAAGAUUAAGUGAUGGGGUGAGAGCUCCUGAUCGAAGUCCCGGUAAACGGCGGCCGUAACUAUAACGGUCCUAAGGUAGCGAAAUUCCUUGUCGGGUAAGUUCCGACCUGCACGAAUGGCAUAACGAUGGCCCCACUGUCUCCUCCCGAGACUCAGUGAAGUUGAAAUGUUUGUGAUGAUGCAAUCUCCCCGCGGCUAGACGGAAAGACCCCAUGAACCUUUACUGCAGCUUUGCAUUGGACUUUGAACCGAUCUGUGUAGGAUAGGCGGGAGGCAAUGAAACUUUGACGCCAGUCAGAGUGGAGCCGACGUUGAAAUACCGCCCUGAUUUGUUUGAGGUUCUAACCGCAGACAGUGAGCCUGUCUCGGGACCGUGCAUGGUAGGCAGUUUGACUGGGGCGGUCUCCU
rnacentral:rRNA from 1 species